rnacentral:SRP_RNA from 1 species
GCUAUGUGGCAAUAGUGAACUUAUGAAUCGAGUCAGGUCCGGAAGGAAGCAGCUAUAAGUAACGUUCGCUAUGUGCCAUAUAUUUUU